rnacentral:misc_RNA from 1 species
AUAUUAAACAUAUAUACAAAUAAUCAAAAAUACAAGCAAAACGUUUGCAACAACAACAAAACACAAUGUCCGCUCACGUCUAAACACUGUUAUUUCUCUCUCUGCACCCCACUCCUUCGUACAUCAGUCCAUCCCCCUCUAACCACUUCAACUCGACCGUUAUUUCUGCAAUCUAUAAAAUGUCAACAAUAACAACAACUGUGGCCCCGCCGCCCACAACAACAAACACAGGUGGCGGUGGAGGAGGAGGAGGAGGCCGCACCGCCGAUUGCCGCAAAUUUUCACCGAAUAUCUUCAAUAAAAGCAAAUGCAGUCACUGCUUUCGUCAACGAGAGGAGCACUCGGCCGCCGCCUUGGAAUGCAAUAGGACGAUGGAACCAGCAUCGCGCAAGGUCUCCAAAUGCGGAUAUCUGUUUGUGGCACCCGACUGGGACUUUAGCAAUCCGUUGUACAGAACAAAGCGCUGGCAGCGACGAUGGUUUGUUCUCUACGAUGAUGGCGAGCUCACGUAUUCGGUGGAUGAUUAUCCCGAAACCAUACCGCAGGCCUGCAUUGACAUGACCAAAGUGCUGGAGGUGACCGGGGCCGUGGAGGUGACAGGUCAUCCCAAUUCCAUAGCCAUAACCGCACCGGAGCGCGUCACCUUCGUGAAGGGCACCAGCUCCGAGGAGUCGCAGUGGUGGCUCAACAUUCUGGCGGCCUUUCCCAAAUCCAAGGGUCGCCACAAGCGCAGCGCCACCCUGCCGGGCGGCCAGGUGGUUGGCAGUCUGCGGCAGUCGAGCAACAUGGACAUGUCCACGAAGCUGGGCAAUCGCCACAGCUCGUACCACAAGGACACGCUCACGUCCUCCCAGUCGGCGGGCAAUUUGCUGAGCAGCCUGGAUCUGAGUCCCAGCUCUACGAAUACCGGAGGAUCCACCACGGUGACCAAUACCCAGGGCACUGUGGACGAUGACGAGGAGGAUGAUGGCGUGGAAACGGGCGAGGAUGUCGACGAAGAGGACGAGGAGGAUGUUCAGCCAAGGAAAUCGAAGCCAUCGACCAGCUGCAUCAUCGGACAGGAUGAGAACAAUCGAAAUGCCGGCAAUGAGAUCACAAAUCGGGUUUCCCAACCCACAACUUGCCUACUCAUCGAGGACAUACGCCGGGAUGAGAAGACCAUCAAGGACAUUGCCAACACCAUAACGAACCUAAGUCAACAGCAGAACAAACGCUGGUCCACGGCCGUCAAUAAUGCGCUGAACAAUCAGCACUCCUCCCAUUAUCACACCCAUGGACACGGACAGUACCAGACAUCGCGGGACGAGACGGAUUUCCAGGUGUCCUCCGCCGCCAGCAACAACAACAACAGCAACAAGUCCCCGAGCAGCGGUGGAAGCGAGAGACCAAAGUCACUGCCACUGGCGGCCAACUCCACGCCGGCCAUCGUCUCGGCCAUAGUCAAGAAGAUACCCCCGGUGAUGGUGUCCCAGCAGCAGCAACAGAAGCAGCAGCAGCAGCACCAGGGGGAUAGCCUCUCAAAGACGAAGACGCCGACCCGUCUGCAGCUGCAGCUGAAGCCAGCGAAGCACUACCAGCACGAGCGAGGCGAUCCCGAUGGGGGCUGCAACAUGGACGAGCUGUGCCCCAACUACAUGGCCAAAACGGACGAGCUGCGAUCCGUCAAGGGAGGCCUCAGCAUCAAGUCCAGCUCCUCCUCCUCCUCCGGGGCGAGCAAACCCUCAGCCAAGGCCGCCACGGAGGAGUCGCUGAACGCCAAGAAGGGGUGGCUGAUGAAGCAGGACAACCGCACGGGCGAGUGGUCCAAGCACUGGUUCACCCUCAGCGGAGCGGCUCUGUUCUACUACCGCGAUCCGCUGUGCGAGGAGCGGGGCGUCCUGGACGGAGUGCUCGACGUCAACAGCCUGACGAAUGUCCUGCCAGAGCCGAGUGCCAGCAAGCAGCACGCCUUCCAGCUGAUCACCUGGGACAAGCAGCGCCUGCUGCUGGCCAGCCUCUCGCCCAGCUCCCGCAACAGCUGGCUGGCGGUGCUCCGCAGUGCCGCCGGUCUGCCCCAGCAGCUGGACACGACGACGCCCACGACGGGCGCCAAGCAGACGGACAUCGAGCAGGACUUUAUCAAGGCGCAGCUGCAGCCUGUGGCGAGUCCGGCCACCACGCCGGGCACCCCUGCCGGGACAGGACCCCACUUCUCGUCCGACGAGGAGUACCGCACCGCCUCGGAGGGCGGGCGCAGGGACAGCCUCGACUGGGGCUCCCCGCUGUCGCCAUCCCCGCCCGUGCUCCGCAGCUGCCUGCGCAACCGCAGCCUCGCGAGCCUCCACAAGCGCAGCCGCAGCUCUCCGCCGAGCUCCAGGCGCAGCACCGUCGACAGUGUGGCCAGCGACGAGCUGCCCCUCCUGGUGGUGCCCGAGGAGCUGCUGCAGCCGGAUCGGGAGCUCAAGCAGCAGUGCGAGACGCUGCGCGCAGAGGCCACCCUGCGGGAGGCACGAAUGUCGGAGCUGCUGACGACCCUGCAGCGGACGGAGCAGCAGCUGACGGCCCGCCUGCAGGAGCAGCAGCAGCAGCUCAACGGAGAGCUGGCGCAGGCCAAGCAGAGUGCCGCCGAGCUGAUGCACAGCCUCAGUCUGCAGCUGUCGGACAGCCAGUGCAAGAUCAAGCAGCUGGAGGACCGCCUGGCGCAGGGCAUCGAGGAGAACGAGAGCCUGUACAAGCGACUGCGGGAGCUCCAGGCGGAGGGCAGCCAGGUGGCGAGCCUCAGCAAUCUGCAGCGCCACAAAAUGAAGCGCAUGGACUCGCUGAGCGACCUCACGACCAUCAGCGACAUCGAUCCGUACUGCCUGCAGCGGGACUCCCUGGCGGAGGAGUACAACGAGCUUCGGUCGCGCUUCGAGAAGGCCGUCAACGAGAUUCGGGCCAUGAAGCGGGAGCUGAAGCAAUCCCAGAACCAAUACGACGCCCUGGAGCUGGCCCAGGCGGCGUUGCAGCAGAAGCUGGAACGCUGCCAACUGGAGGAUGGGGCGCAGCUUCAACUGAUGGCCGCCCGCAUCCAGGAUCUGACUCUCAAGUACAGCAGCUCGGAGCGACAGGUGCGAGCCCUCAAGCAGAAGCUGGCCAAGUCCGAGCGCAGGCGAUCGCUGUCGCUCAAGGGAAAGGAGCAGCUGGAGCUGAAGCUCAGCGAACUCCAGAGGGAGACGAUCGAGCGCAAGUCGGUAGAGAGCAUCAGUCCGCCCACAGAGUCCUCGAGCAGCGAGUCUGCCAGCCAGUCCCCGCUGAAUGCCCAUCUCCUGCAGCGUCUGCACAGCCUGGAGCAUGUGCUGCUGGGCAGCAAGGAGCGCCUCGAGCAGAGUCUCACGCAACUCCAGCAAAUCCGCGCAGGACAGAGGAGUCGUCGCUCCGUUUCCCCCAUGAAUGACAGGAAGGAUGGCCUGCGGCAGCUGGAACGCGCUCUGGCUGAGACCUGCGUGAUGGUCAGCGAGCAGAUGGAGCUCACCUGCGUCCAGGAUGCCUGCCACAAGUGCUGCGACCUUCGUCAGAGGGUGGAGAAGCUCUCGGCCCUGCAACAGCAGACCGAAACGGAUCUGCAGCGCAGCGAACAGCUGCUGGAACAACGAGAGAGCGACCUCGCCCAGGCCCUGGAGAAGUGCGCCAGCCAGGAGCAGGAACAGGAGCUGCUCCUCCGACAGCGCAACGAGCUGAGCGACGAGCUGGGCAAACAGCAGGAGCGCUGCAAGCGCCUCGAGAAGCGUCUGGAGCUGCUCGAACGGGAGCACGGAAAGCAGCUGGAGUGUCUGCGAGAGGUGUACCACAACGAGCAUGUCAAUGCGGCCGACGAGCAGAGCUUCCGUAAACGCUACCAACUGGAAAUCGAACAGCUGAGGACGCUCUGCGAGAAGGGGCUGAGUGCCAUGGAGACCUCGCAUCGGAGAAUCACCUGCGAUCUGGAGCAGCAGCACAAGCUGGAAAUCGAGCGACUGCUGGCCGAAAAGGAGACCGCUUUGGCAGAGGAAACUCAGGCAACCCUUGCCGCUCUGGAUGCCAUGCGUAAAGCCCACCAGAGCGAAGUGCAACGCGAGGUGGCACGCUUCAAGCAGGAGUUCCUGCGACAGGUCCAGCGGGGAGAGCACAUGCGGGAAGAUGGCACCACGCUGAAAGACUGCCGGCGGUUGCGGUUGGUGUGACGUGACGGAAUCGAAAUUACUUAAUUCGCCCGAUUGGAUAAAUCGAUGUUAGUGCCAUCAGAUCAGAUCGGAUCAAGCGGGGUUAACCGGAGGCCGAGAGCAGAUGCGGCUUGUUCUGCCCAACCGUAGUCAUUUCGUCCUGUGGGUCCAGGCGGAUUCUGUAAGGAGGCAUUGGUAGUACGGCAUCGUCGGGGUUUUUCGUCUCGACAACGGUUGCCCACAAAUGCCUUUGACCUUGGGCGACUCGGACCACUCCGAUUAGCACAGAACAAAAAAUGUUUGCCUAGUUUCGAUCUUCUGUUUGGUUUAAGAACUUCUACGUGUGGGCCUUGUGGAUCGUGCCCUCCCAUCUGCUGUGGAAGCUUCUGUGGUGGCUGUCGCUGAGUAAUAACGACAAUCGACAGGAUCUAAGCCUUCCAUCAACGCCCUGGUGACAACUGCAGAAAGCUAGAACACAAAGCUGCCUCAAAAAAUAGCAUUAGACUAGUUUUAUGAUAGUUUUACAAAUAAACCAUUUAAGAAUAAAACAA